rnacentral:rRNA from 1 species
AUUGAACGCUGGCGGAAUGCUUUACACAUGCAAGUCGAACGGCAGCACGGACUUCGGUCUGGUGGCGAGUGGCGAACGGGUGAGUAAUGUAUCGGAACGUGCCCAGUCGUGGGGGAUAACGUAGUGAAAAUUACGCUAAUACCGCAUACGAUCUAUGGAUGAAAGCGGGGGAUCGCAAGACCCCGCGCGAUUGGAGCGGCCGAUAUCAGAUUAGGUAGUUGGUGGGGUAAAGGCCCACCAAGCCAACGAUCUGUAGCUGGUCUGAGAGGACGACCAGCCACACUGGAACUGAGACACGGUCCAGACUCCUACGGGAGGCAGCAGUGGGGAAUUUUGGACAAUGGGCGAAAGCCUGAUCCAGCCAUUCCGCGUGCAGGAUGAAGGCCCUCGGGUUGUAAACUGCUUUUGUACAGAACGAAAAGGUUUCUACUAAUACUAGGAGCUCAUGACGGUACUGUAAGAAUAAGCACCGGCUAACUACGUGCAGCAGCCGCGGUAA